UUGAUCAUGGCUCAGGAUGAACGCUAGCGGGAGGCCUAACACAUGCAAGCCGAGCGGUAGAAGAUCUUCGGAUCUUUGAGAGCGGCGUACGGGUGCGGAACACGUGUGCAACCUACCUUUAUCAGGGGGAUAGCCUUUCGAAAGGAAGAUUAAUACCCCAUAAUAUAUUGAUUGGCAUCAGUUAAUAUUGAAAACUCCGGUGGAUAGAGAUGGGCACGCGCAAGAUUAGAUAGUUGGUAGGGUAACGGCCUACCAAGUCAGUGAUCUUUAGGGGGCCUGAGAGGGUGAUCCCCCACACUGGUACUGAGACACGGACCAGACUCCUACGGGAGGCAGCAGUGAGGAAUAUUGGACAAUGGGUGAGAGCCUGAUCCAGCCAUCCCGCGUGAAGGACGACGGCCCUAUGGGUUGUAAACUUCUUUUGUAUAGGGAUAAACCUUUCCACGUGUGGAAAGCUGAAGGUACUAUACGAAUAAGCACCGGCUAACUCCGUGCCAGCAGCCGCGGUAAUACGGAGGGUGCAAGCGUUAUCCGGAUUUAUUGGGUUUAAAGGGUCCGUAGGCGGAUCUGUAAGUCAGUGGUGAAAUCUCAUAGCUUAACUAUGAAACUGCCAUUGAUACUGCAGGUCUUGAGUAAAGUAGAAGUGGCUGGAAUAAGUAGUGUAGCGGUGAAAUGCAUAGAUAUUACUUAGAACACCAAUUGCGAAGGCAGGUCACUAUGUUUUAACUGACGCUGAUGGACGAAAGCGUGGGGAGCGAACAGGAUUAGAUACCCUGGUAGUCCACGCCGUAAACGAUGCUAACUCGUUUUUGGGCUUUAGGGUUCAGAGACUAAGCGAAAGUGAUAAGUUAGCCACCUGGGGAGUACGUUCGCAAGAAUGAAACUCAAAGGAAUUGACGGGGGCCCGCACAAGCGGUGGAUUAUGUGGUUUAAUUCGAUGAUACGCGAGGAACCUUACCAAGGCUUAAAUGGGAAUUGACAGGUUUAGAAAUAGACUUUUCUUCGGACAAUUUUCAAGGUGCUGCAUGGUUGUCGUCAGCUCGUGCCGUGAGGUGUUAGGUUAAGUCCUGCAACGAGCGCAACCCCUGUCACUAGUUGCCAUCAUUCAGUUGGGGACUCUAGUGAGACUGCCUACGCAAGUAGAGAGGAAGGUGGGGAUGACGUCAAAUCAUCACGGCCCUUACGCCUUGGGCCACACACGUAAUACAAUGGCCAGUACAGAGGGCAGCUACCAGGCGACUGGAUGCGAAUCUCGAAAGCUGGUCUCAGUUCGGAUUGGAGUCUGCAACUCGACUCUAUGAAGCUGGAAUCGCUAGUAAUCGCAUAUCAGCCAUGAUGCGGUGAAUACGUUCCCGGGCCUUGUACACACCGCCCGUCAAGCCAUGGAAGUUUGGGGUACCUG
rnacentral:rRNA from 1 species